AUUGAACGCUGGCGGCAGGCUUAACACAUGCAAGACGAGCGGUAACAGAGAGAAGCUUGCUUCUCUGCUGACGAGCGGCGGACGGGUGAGUAAUGCCUAGGAAUCUGCCUAGUAGUGGGGGAUAACUUGCCGAAAGGUAAGCUAAUGCCGCAUACGUCCUACGGGAGAAAGGAGGGGACCUUCGGGCCUUUCGCUAUUAGAUGAGCCUAGGUCGGAUUAGUUAGUUGGUGAGGUAAUGGCUCACCAAGACCGCGAUCCGUAACUGGUCUGAGAGGAUGAUCAGUCACACUGGAACUGAGACACGGUCCAGACUCCUACGGGAGGCAGCAGUGGGGAAUAUUGGACAAUGGGGGGAACCCUGAUCCAGCCAUGCCGCGUGUGUGAAGAAGGUCUUAGGAUUGUAAAGCACUUUAAGUUGGGAGGAAGAGCAGUUAACUAAUAUUUGACUGUUUUGACGUUACCGACAGAAUAAGCACCGGCUAACUUCAUGCCAGCCGCCGCAGUAA
rnacentral:rRNA from 1 species